AUUGAACGCUGGCGGCAUGCCUUACACAUGCAAGUCGAACGGCAGCACGGGUGCUUGCACCUGGUGGCGAGUGGCGAACGGGUGAGUAAUACAUCGGAACGUACCUUAUCGUGGGGGAUAACGCAGCGAAAGCUGUGCUAAUACCGCAUACGCCCUGAGGGGGAAAGCGGGGGAUCGCAAGACCUCGCGCGAUUAGAGCGGCCGAUGCCUGAUUAGCUUGUUGGUGGGGUAAAAGCCCACCAAGGCGACGAUCAGUAGCUGGUCUGAGAGGACGAUCAGCAACGCGGGGACUGGGACACGGCCCAGACUCCUACGGGAGGACGCAGUGGAGAAUUUUGGACAAUGGGGGCAACCCUGAUCCAGCAAUGCCGCGUGAGUGAAGAAGGCCUUCGGGUUGUAAAGCUCUUUUGUCAGGGAAGAAACACCGGCUCUAACACAGUCCGGGAAUGACGGUACCUGAAGAAUAAGCACCGGCUAACUACGUGCCAGCCGCCGCCGUAA
rnacentral:rRNA from 1 species